GAUGAAGAACGUAGCGAAAUGCGAUAAGUAAUGUGAAUUGCAGAAUUCAGUGAAUCAUCGAAUCUUCGAACGCACCUUGCGCCCUUUGGCCAUUCCGAAGGGCAUGCCUGUUUGAGUAUCAUGAACACCUCAACUCUUUAUGGUUUUCCAUGAUGAGCUUGGACUCUGGGGGUUUUGCUGGCUCACAGUCGGCUCCUCUAAAAUGAAUCAGCUUACCAGUGUUUGGUGGGUAUCAUGGGUGUGAUAACUAUCUACGCUUGUGGUUUUUCCACCAGGUAACCUUAAGCAGUGGAGGUUCGCUGGAGCUCAUAGAUGUCUCUCCUCAGUGAGGACAGCCCUUUGAAUGUUUGAUCUCAAAUCAGGUAGGACUACCCGCUGAACUUAAGCAUAUCAAUAAGCGGAGGA
rnacentral:misc_RNA from 1 species